CCUGAGAAACCCAAAAGAUCGAAUGGGGAGAUUCAUCGUCAGCUCAUUUUGUAUAUGUAUGAGUUAUGAUGCGGGUUACUACUUGUAGUAUUGCCUGCACAUUCUUAUAUAUUUAGUUGCAAGAUGUUGUCGGCGUGCACUUCUCCUCUAGUAGGACGUCGCGACCUGUUGGGUGUCGGUCUACGGCCCAAGUGAUAGUCUUUAAUAAAAUUUAAAAAGUAUUAAAGAUCCUUGGUGUUUUCUGACCGGCUACUUGGCAGUAUUCGUACGGUAUUUAGCCGCUAAAUUUAUUAAGCGUCCAUAUCCGUCACAAGCGAGGUUAAUUUACUGAUAGUACGGACCUAGUGCCGUCGUUGGUAUUAGCCAGCUGUUGGUUGUACGGUAUUCUAGGACUGGCUAAAAUUAAUUACCGGUCGGCGAUGCUACUGCUUUGGGUACUUUCAGG
rnacentral:rRNA from 1 species